CUGGCUCAGAACGAACGCUGGCGGCAGGUCUUAGACAUGCAAGUCGAACGGAUGACAAGGGAGCUUGCUCCUUGAAGUCAGUGGCGCACGAGUGAGUAACGCGUGGGAAACUGCCCUUCACUGGGGAAUAACGUUUGGAAACGAACGCUAAUACCGCAUACGCCCGCAAGGGGAAAGAUUUAUCGGUGAUGGAUGUGCCCGCGUUGGAUUAGCUAGUUGGUGGGGUAAUGGCCUACCAAGGCGAUGAUCCAUAGCUGGUCUGAGAGGACGAUCAGCCACGCUGGAACUGAGACACGGUCCAGACUCCUACGGGAGGCAGCAGCUAAGAAUAUUGGGCAAUGGAGGAAACUCUGACCCAAGCCAUGCCGCGUGAAUGAAGAAGGCCUUCGGGUUGUAAAGUUCUUUUAGUCAUGAAGAUGAUGACAGUAGUGACAGAAAAGCACCGGCUAACUUCGUGCCAGCCGCCGC
rnacentral:rRNA from 1 species